rnacentral:lncRNA from 1 species
UCUGGCAGCAGUAGCUAUGCCUGAACAGAACAUAAGUUAUGGUACUGCUUUGGCUUCACAAGUAAACAGAAAUAACUGCAUCUCUAUUAGUUCCACGACAUGUUAAAUGCUGCCUGUACUGUCCAGCAAACAAAAUUAAACUAAACUAUCACCUCGAUUCCGAAAUAUGGGACGUCUUGGAUAUUUCAAUAUGAACUACGUACGGACUGAAAUGGGUGAACAAACACACUAAAACGUGUCUAUAUACAUCCGAUUCAGAAAAGGUUAGAACACUGAAAUGGGUGAACAAACACACUAAAACGUGUCUAUAUACAUCCGAUUCAGAAAAGGUUAGAACAUCUUAUAAUUCGGAACGGAGGGACUACUAUUUAACAAAUAAAAAUCAUUUGAUCACUGAAGAAAGC